AUAGUGUCUUUAACAUAGUCUCAUAUUUGGAAAAGCAGUUUAAAAAAAAACAAUUGAAAAUACAAGAUAAGGUAAGGGUUACUUACAUAAGUUUUAACCUUAUAUUGCUUGGCCAUUUUUACAUAUAAAUUAUUGCUUACUAGCUUCGAUAAAUACACAGCACAGUCAUAUAUAUAUAUAACAUAUAUACACAGAGGCAGAAAGCAUGGAAUAUGGGAAAGAAAACACUGUUAAUGGCAAUUCUGGUAACUCAACAAAUGUUUCAUAUUUACCAGUUCUUUAAAUGGUGGAAAACUACCAAGUGUAGUCCCUGAGAAGUUAGGUAGACACCCUGAUGGCGGGUUCUCUAUCUUCUAAUUGUUAAUGCAAGCUGACAAUAUCACAGCAGCCCUAAUUAAUGAUACAUUAAAAGGCAAGAUUUCUUGCUUCAGGUCACUGAUUUCAUCCCAGUAUUUAAUAACAGUGUAAUACGAAUACAAUAAAUAGACUAUGCAAAUAAAUAUUACUCUGCUAAAAAAUGUUUAGUAUAUACAGCUUUGCUUUAUACAGUAAUACAUUUUCAUCUAACUUUUUGGCAAUUUUUAAAAACAUCCCCCCCCCAACCAGUUUUAAGCAAAACUGGCCCACUCGCUAAGAAGCAGGCUGAAAUUUUAAGGACAUGUUUUUGAAACAUUUAAAAGAAAUCUUGUGUUGGACCACUGCAGAAGACCUGAUCAUCCCCAUUUUAAUGUUUUUGCCCAGUUUCUGAGAAGUCUGGAUUGGCUGUGCCAUUUAGGAACAUUCAGUUCCGGAUCUGCGGUGUCUGUGCUGGCCAGAACAGACUUGCAGGGCUGGGAUAUGGGUAGCAAUGAAAGCCCAGCUCCAGGGAUAAGAAGUCAUCACUGGUACCCUCUCUUUCAUGCCACGAUUUCUCCUCCACUCAGAGGCGAGUAUAUAUUCAUGCAGCAUCCCCUCCCUGUGGACUAGGCAGUGUGAGCACUGACCUCAUCCACAUGCUUCUAAAUUUGGUGUAUGCUCCACACUACCUGUUUGUGGUUCUUGCUCUAGGGAAAUGAAUUUAUUCUAAACAUAAUUAAGGAAACUAGAAAAAGUGAAUGCAGGUCACGUGUAUCACUACAAUCAUUUGGCAGUUAUACAGAUGACAAAGAGCAAAUUCAAAACACCACACUGAAGGGAACACCUGCAAAUGCGUAUAUAAAAAAAUUUUUUUUAAUGGCAAGGUUGUGAUUUUGCCUACGGAGUCCUGCAUUGUGCCGUCUUGUGCUAACUUCUAAGCAGGGCUAGUUUGCUGGAAUGCUGACAAAUCCAAAGACCCAGAGGACUGUCUGGGAGUUGUGCUGUAACAAAAAGAUCCCACUUAGAAGUGCCCCUGCACCACCUGGUGCCGAAGGUGGCAGAUAUAGAUUUGCAGAGUGAGCGAAGAUUUUAUGCAAUAAUAAAACUCCAAAUGAGAGCUGGCAAAGAGCUUAGCCAUCUUCUAGACCACACUUCUGGCCAGAACAAAACCUAUUCUGAAGAGGCCUGGGUGAAUAUCCAGAGAGGGAGCGUGGCCCAUCCUAUUAACAAGGAGCGCUCAAGCCCUACCACUGUCCACCAGUGAACAACUCAGAUUCCUUAGAAAAAGCUUUCUGUUGAGUAAAAUCUGGUUCUCACAAUUUGGGCUUGAAUUCUUUAAUUCCAGAUCUAAGAUUCUGCAAAGCUUUGAGCUGUUGCCUGGCAAACCUCUAGAGACAGUUGUUAAACUUCAGAAAGAUGUAGAGAUUUUAGACAUUCAGAAGACAAGGAUGGAAAAGCAAAUCUCAACUGCACAAAAUCCUCCCUUCCCUCUGCUACCCCUAGGACCACUUAACCAUGGCUGGAGGAAAAGGCGAACAAGCAUCAUUUUCUCCCCAGCCAGUUUCCACCCACGUCAUGUGAGAUACUCUGAAGUCACUGUACAAAAUGCAUUUAAACACAACAUUUGUGUAGCUUCAUCUGGCUCGGUGUGCAUAUCUAACUUGGGGUCUAAGCAGCCCGCAAAAUGCUGAAAUAGUUCUCCAUGGAAAAUUAGUCCCCUAAAGGUAAUGUUCUACUAGGAGCAAUGUGGUUCUAAUGUAAAUAAAAAUCUGAACUGUGAAACACAGAAACAAUGUCAGGAUGGCCUUAUAUGAUUACACUGGCCAAACCUUAGUCCAGGGCAUAGGAAAAAGGUGAGAACACGUGCUUGUGCUGUAAGCCCAUGCUAUCGUUAGUAACUGCGUGAGGAGGGCUUUGGAGGGUUUGCUCAGCCCAGCUGUGAGGGAAGUCUGCUGUCCGGUUCUCAUGGCUCUGGUGUCCUCCCGUGGGCCACAUUCCAUGACCAGCAGCAUGCAGCAUUUCUCUGAAGGGACCA
ensembl:lncRNA